UAGGGAAUCUUCCACAAUGGACGCAAGUCUGAUGGAGCAACGCCGCGUGAGUGAAGAAGGUUUUCGGAUCGUAAAGCUCUGUUGUUGGUGAAGAAGGAUAGAGGUAGUAACUGGCCUUUAUUUGACGGUAAUCAACCAGAAAGUCACGGCUAACUACAUGCCAGCAGCCGCGGUAAUACGUAGGUGGCAAGCGUUGUCCGGAUUUAUUGGGCGUAAAGCGAGCGCAGGCGGAAGAAUAAGUCUGAUGUGAAAGCCCUCGGCUUAACCGAGGAACUGCAUCGGAAACUGUUUUUCUUGAGUGCAGAAGAGGAGAGUGGAAUUCCAUGUGUAGCGGUGGAAUGCGUAGAUAUAUGGAAGAACACCAGUGGCGAAGGCGACUCUCUGGUCUGCAACUGACGCUGAGGCUCGAAAGCAUGGGUAGCGAGCAGG
rnacentral:rRNA from 1 species